GAUGAACGCUGACAGAAUGCUUAACACAUGCAAGUCAACUUGAACUUCGGUUUGGGUGGCGGACGGGUGAGUAACGCGUAAAGAACUUGCCUCACAGCUAGGGACAACAUUUGGAAACGAAUGCUAAUACCUGAUAUUAUGAUUUUAGGGCAUCCUAGAAUUAUGAAAGCUAUAUGCGCUGUGAGAGAGCUUUGCGUCCCAUUAGCUAGUUGGAGAGGUAACGGCUCACCAAGGCGAUGAUGGGUAGCCGGCCUGAGAGGGUGAACGGCCACAAGGGGACUGAGACACGGCCCUUACUCCUACGGGAGGCAGCGGUGGGGAAUAUUGGACAAUGGACCAAGAGUCUGAUCGAGCAAUUCUGUGUGCACGAUGAAGUUUUUCGGAAUGUAAAGUGCUUUCAGUUGGGAAGAAAAAAAUGACGGUACCAACAGAAGAAGUGACGGCUAAAUACGUG
rnacentral:rRNA from 1 species